CACGUAGGGCGCAAGCGUUGUCCGGAAUCAUUGGGCGUAAAGAGCGUGUAGGCGGUCCGGUAAGUCCGCUGUGAAAGUCGGGGGCUCAACCCUCGAAUGCCGGUGGAUACUGUCGGGCUAGAGUGCGGAAGAGGCGAGUGGAAUUCCUGGUGUAGCGGUGAAAUGCGCAGAUAUCAGGAGGAACACCAAUGGCGAAGGCAGCUCGCUGGGACGGUACUGACGCUGAGACGCGAAAGCGUGGGGAGCAAACAGG
rnacentral:rRNA from 1 species